rnacentral:rRNA from 1 species
UACGUAGGUGACGAGCGUUGUCCGGAUUUACUGGGCGUAAAGAGCGCGCAGGCGGCCAACUAAGUCAGACGUGAAAUCCCUCGGCUUAACCGGGGAACUGCGUCUGAUACUGGAUGGCUUGAGUGUGGGAGAGGGAUGCGGAAUUCCAGGUGUAGCGGUGAAAUGCGUAGAUAUCUGGAGGAACACCGGUGGCGAAGGCGGCAUCCUGGACCACGACUGACGCUGAGGAGCGAAAGCCAGGGGAGCAAACGGG